GGGUCAGGGAUAAUCUCGGGAAACUGAGUGUAAACCCUGAUGGCCUGUCUUUGCUGGAAUGCUUGACAGGCGAAAGGCAACGCCCUAGGAUGCGACCACGUCUCAUCAGGCAGUUGGCGGGGUAACGGCCCACCAAACCUACGACGAGUACGGGUUGUGCGAGCAAUAACCCGGAGAUGGGGACUGAGACAAUGCCCCAGGCCCUACGGGGCGCAGCAGGCGCGAAAACUUCGCAAUGGCCGAAAGGCCGACGAGGGAAUCCUGAGUGCUGGUUCUAUUUAGAGCCAGCUUUUGACGACAGUAAAAACGUCGUUGAAUAAGGGCUGGGCAAGAUUGGUGCCAGCCGCCGCGGUAAUCCCAACAGCCCGAGUGGUGGCCGCACUUACUGGGUUUAAAGCGUUCGUAGCUGGAGCAGAAAAUUCCAGGUGAAAACCCGGCGCCCAACGUCGGGAAGGGCCUGGAAGACUGCUGCUCUUGGGACCGGGAGAGGGAAGGGGAACUUUCUGGGUAGGGGCUAAAUCCUAUAAUCCAGAAAUGACCACCGGUAGCGAAGGCGCCUUCCUGGAACGGGUCCGACGGUGAGGAACGAAGCCUAAGGGAGUGAACGGGAUUAGAUACCCCGGUAAUCUUAGGUGUAAACGAUGCUUGCCAUGUGUUGCCGUUACCAAGUGUGACGGCAGUGCCGAAGAGAAAUCGUUAAGCAAGCCACCUGGGGAGUACGGUCGCAAGACUGAAACUUAAAGAAAUUGGCGGGGGGGCACCACAAGGGGUGAAGCCUGCGGUUCAAUUGGAUUCAACGCCGCGCAACUCACCAGGUUCGACGGCAGAAUGAAGGUCAGGCUGAAGGUCUUACCAGACAAGCCGAGAGGUGCUGCAUGGCCGCCGACAGCUCGUGCUGUGAAGUGUCUAGUUAAGUCUAGCAACGAGCGAGACCCGAACCGUUAAUUGCAAACCGUUUCUCCGGAAGCGGUGCACAUUAGCGGGACUGCAUCCGCUAAGGGUGAGGAAGGAUCGGGCGACGGUAGGUCAGUAUGGCCUGAAUAUCCUGGGCCACACGCGGGCUGCAAUGACCGGGACAAUGAGAUGCAACUCCGAAAGGAGGAGCAAAUCCCCUAAACCCGGCCUUAGUACAGAUCGAGGGCUGCAACCCGCCCUCGUGAAGCUGGAAUCCCCAGUAAUCGGACCUCAUCAUAGUCCGGUGAAAACGUCCCUGCUCCUUGCA
rnacentral:rRNA from 1 species